GACCAGACUCCUACGGGAGGCAGCAGUGGGGAAUAUUGCACAAUGGGGGAAACCCUGAUGCAGCGACGCCGCGUGAGCGAUGAAGUAUUUCGGUAUGUAAAGCUCUAUCAGCAGGGAAGAAGAUGACGGUACCUGACUAAGAAGCCCCGGCUAACUACGUGCCAGCAGCCGCGGUAAUACGUAGGGGGCAAGCGUUAUCCGGAUUUACUGGGUGUAAAGGGAGCGUAGACGGCGAUGCAAGCCAGAUGUGAAAGCCCGGGGCUCAACCCCGGGACUGCAUUUGGAACUGUGUGGCUGGAGUGUCGGAGAGGCAGGCGGAAUUCCUAGUGUAGCGGUGAAAUGCGUAGAUAUUAGGAGGAACGCCAGUGGCGAAGGCGGCCUGCUGGACGAUGACUGACGUUGAGGCUCGAAAGCGUGGGGAGCAAACAGGAUUAGAUACCCGUGUAA
rnacentral:rRNA from 1 species